GUGGGGAAUAUUGCACAAUGGGCGGAAGCCUGAUGCAGCAACGCCGCGUGCGGGAUGACGGCCUUCGGGUUGUAAACCGCUUUCGCCUGUGACGAAGCGUGAGUGACGGUAAUGGGUAAAGAAGCACCGGCUAACUACGUGCCAGCAGCCGCGGUGAUACGUAGGGUGCGAGCGUUGUCCGGAUUUAUUGGGCGUAAAGGGCUCGUAGGUAGUUGAUCGCGUCGGAAGUGUAAUCUUGGGGCUUAACCCUGAGCGUGCUUUCGAUACGGGUUGACUUGAGGAAGGUAGGGGAGAAUGGAAUUCCUGGUGGAGCGGUGGAAUGCGCAGAUAUCAGGAGGAACACCAGUGGCGAAGGCGGUUCUCUGGGCCUUUCCUGACGCUGAGGAGCGAAAGCGUGGGGAGCGA
rnacentral:rRNA from 1 species